CCUACGGGAGGCAGUAGUGAGGAAUAUUGGUCAAUGGGCGCUAGCCUGAACCAGCCAAGUAGCGUGAAGGAUGACUGCCCUAUGGGUUGUAAACUUCUUUUAUAUGGGAAUAAAGUGCAGUAUGUAUACUGCUUUGCAUGUACCUUAUGAAUAAGGAUCGGCUAACUCCGUGCCAGCAGCCGCGGUAAUACGGAGGAUCCGAGCGUUAUCCGGAUUUAUUGGGUUUAAAGGGAGCGUAGGCGGGUUGUUAAGUCAGUUGUGAAAGUUUGCGGCUCAACCGUAAAAUUGCAGUUGAUACUGGCAGCCUUGAGUACAGUAGAGGUAGGCGGAAUUCGUGGUGUAGCGGUGAAAUGCUUAGAUAUCACGAAGAACUCCGAUUGCGAAGGCAGCCUGCUGGACUGUAACUGACGCUGAUGCUCGAAAGUGUGGGUAUCAAACAGGAUUAGAUACCCUGGUAGUC
rnacentral:rRNA from 1 species